rnacentral:rRNA from 1 species
AUUGAACGCUGGCGGCAGGCCUAACACAUGCAAGUCGAGCGGCAGCGGAAAGUAGCUUGCUACUUUGCCGGCGAGCGGCGGACGGGUGAGUAAUGUCUGGGAAACUGCCUGAUGGAGGGGGAUAACUACUGGAAACGGUAGCUAAUACCGCAUGACCUCGAAAGAGCAAAGUGGGGGAUUUUCGGACCUCACGCCAUCCGAUGUGCCCAGAUGGGAUUAGCUAGUAAGUGAGGUAAUGGCUCACCUCGGCGACGAUCCCUAGCUGGUCUGAAAGGAUGACCCGGCCCUCUUUUAACUUGGAAACUGCCCAAACUCCCACGUGAGGAACUCUAUGGCCCUACUUUCCCCAUUUGGGGUGCUUUAGGGCCGUCAUG